CUACAAAUGAAUUGACGGGGGCCCGCACAAGCGGUGGAGCAUGUGGUUUAAUUCGACGCUACGCGAAGAACCUUACCUGGGCUUGAACUGCUGGUGGUAGGAGCCCGAAAGGGUAACGACCCGGAGCAAUCCGGGAGCCAGUAGAGGUGCUGCAUGGCUGUCGUCAGCUCGUGUCGUGAGAUGUUGGGUUAAGUCCCGCAACGAGCGCAACCCUUACCCUUAGUUGCCAGCGGGUAAUGCCGGGCACUCUAAGGGGACCGCCCCGGAUAACGGGGAGGAAGGCGGGAUGACGUCAAGUCAGCAUGGCCUUUAUGUCCAGGGCUACACACGUGCUACAAUGGGCGAUACAGAGGGAAGCAAGGCCGCAAGGUAGAGCUAAUCCCUAAAGUCGUCCUCAGUUCGGAUUGCAGGCUGCAACUCGCCUGCAUGAAGUCGGAAUCGCUAGUAAUCGCGGAUCAGCUACGCCGCGGUGAAUACGUUCUCGGGCCUU
rnacentral:rRNA from 1 species